rnacentral:sRNA from 1 species
UGAUCCGGGUUCGGUUCCCGGCCAUCGCA